rnacentral:rRNA from 1 species
UACUUCCGUAGGGUGAACCUGCGGAAGGAUCAUUA